rnacentral:rRNA from 1 species
GACGGAGGAUGCAAGUGUUAUCCGGAAUCACUGGGCGUAAAGCGUCUGUAGGUGGUCAAAUAAGUCAACUGUUAAAUCUUGAGGCUCAACCUCAAAAUCGCAGUCGAAACUAUUAGACUAGAGUAUAGUGGGGGUAAAGGGAAUUUCCAGUGGAGCGGUGAAAUGCGUAGGGAUUGGAAAGAACACCGAUGGCGAAGGCACUUUACUGGGCUAUUACUAACACUCAGAGACGAAAGCUAGGGUAGCAAAUGGG